GAGCGGACAGAUGGGAGCUUGCUCCCUGAUGUUAGCGGCGGACGGGUGAGUAACACGUGGGUAACCUGCCUGUAAGACUGGGAUAACUCCGGGAAACCGGGGCUAAUACCGGAUACUUGUUUGAACCGCAUGGUUCAAACAUAAAAGGUGGCUUCGGCUACCACUUACAGAUGGACCCGCGGCGCAUUAGCUAGUUGGUGAGGUAAUGGCUCACCAAGGCAACGAUGCGUAGCCGACCUGAGAGGGUGAUCGGCCACACUGGGACUGAGACACGGCCCAGACUCCUACGGGAGGCAGCAGUAGGGAAUCUUCCGCAAUGGACGAAAGUCUGACGGAGCAACGCCGCGUGAGUGAUGAAGGUUUUCGGAUCGUAAAGCUCUGUUGUUAGGGAAGAACAAGUGCCGUUCAAAUAGGGCGGCACCUUGACGGUACCUAACCAGAAAGCCACGGCUAACUACGUGCCAGCAGCCGCGGUAAUACGUAGGUGGCAAGCGUUGUCCGGAAUUAUUGGGCGUAAAGGGCUCGCAGGCGGUUUCUUAAGUCUGAUGUGAAAGCCCCCGGCUCAACCGGGGAGGGUCAUUGGAAACUGGGGAACUUGAGUGCAGAAGAGGAGAGUGGAAUUCCACGUGUAGCGGUGAAAUGCGUAGAGAUGUGGAGGAACACCAGUGGCGAA
rnacentral:rRNA from 1 species